rnacentral:rRNA from 1 species
CGAGCGAACAGACAAGGAGCUUGCUCCUUUGACGUUAGCGGCGGACGGGUGAGUAACACGUGGGUAACCUACCUAUAAGACUGGGAUAACUUCGGGAAACCGGAGCUAAUACCGGAUAAUAUUUCGAACCGCAUGGUUCGAUAGUGAAAGAUGGUUUUGCUAUCACUUAUAGAUGGACCCGCGCCGUAUUAGCUAGUUGGUAAGGUAACGGCUUACCAAGGCGACGAUACGUAGCCGACCUGAGAGGGUGAUCGGCCACACUGGAACUGAGACACGGUCCAGACUCCUACGGGAGGCAGCAGUAGGGAAUCUUCCGCAAUGGGCGAAAGCCUGACGGAGCAACGCCGCGUGAGUGAUGAAGGUCUUCGGAUCGUAAAACUCUGUUAUUAGGGAAGAACAUACGUGUAAGUAACUAUGCACGUCUUGACGGUACCUAAUCAGAAAGCCACGGCUAACUACGUGCCAGCAGCCGCGGUAAUACGUAGGUGGCAAGCGUUAUCCGGAAUUAUUGGGCGUAAAGCGCGCGUAGGCGGUUUUUUAAGUCUGAUGUGAAAGCCCACGGCUCAACCGUGGAGGGUCAUUGGAAACUGGAAAACUUGAGUGCAGAAGAAGAAAGUGGAAUUCCAUGUGUAUCGGUGAAAUGCGCAGAGAUAUUGAGGAACACCAGUGGCCAAA